rnacentral:rRNA from 1 species
GAAACUGCCCAGACACCUACGGGUGGCUGCAGUCGAGAAUCUUCGUCAAUGGGCGAAAGCCUGAACGAGCGACGCCGCGUGUGGGAUGAAGGCCCUUGGGUUGUAAACCACUGUCGAGGGGGAUGAAGGCAUUCAGGUCCUCCUGAAUGUUUGACAGAGCCCUGGAGGAAGCGCGGGCUAAGUUCGUGCCAGCAGCCGCGGUAAUACGAACUGUGCGAACGUUA